rnacentral:rRNA from 1 species
GACGAACGCUGGCGGCGUGCUUAACACAUGCAAGUCGAACGGAAAGGCCCUGCUUUUGUGGGGUUCUCGAGUGGCGAACGGGUGAGUAACACGUGAGUAACCUGCCCUUGACUUUGGGAGAACUUCAGGAAACUGGGGCUAAUACCGGAUAGGAGCUCCUGCUGCAUGGUGGGGGUUGGAAAGUUUCGGCGUUUGGGGAUGGACUCGCGGCUUAUCAGCUUGUUGGUGGGGUAGUGGCUUACCAAGGCUUUGACGGGUAGCCGGCCUGAGAGGGUGACCGGCCACAUUGGGACUGAGAUACGGACCAGACUCCUACGGGAGGCAGCAGUGGGGAAUAUUGCACAAUGGGCGGACGCCUGAUGCAGCAACGCCGCGUGCGGGAUGACGGCUUUCGGGUUGUAAACAGCUUUCGCCUGUGACGAAGCGUGAGUGACGGUAAUGGGUAAAGAAGCACCGGCUAACUACGUG